rnacentral:lncRNA from 1 species
GAAAAUGUUAGAGUAAUUAUUGUUAUAAAUAUUAAAGUCACCAUUUGAUUCAUCAUUAUCUUCUCCCCUGUUCCCAACUUCAUUUCCCAUUUCAGGCACAUUUAUAUGUAUCUUUGUCAUUUUCUCUAAAGGAAAUCUUUCCCAAUUCUCAUACAUAGAAUUAAUUCUUUCCUUCCUCCGUUGUCUCUAGUAUAGUCUUAGGAUGAGAGCCACUGUAUCAGGCAUGAAUGACCACAUUGUAAUGGCCAUAGAACUUUGCAUGUUAUUUUGAUAAUUAGACUUGAGGGGGAAAUGUCAUUACCAGAAGGUAGAGAAGAAUACUGAAUUUUAAGAUUCUUAGGGCAAUCGUGUACUUUUCAAGGACCCAAAGAGUUAAUGAUACUGAUGAGUACUGUCUAAUUUCAUUAAAA